AGACCAGACUCCUACGGGAGGCAGCAGUGGGGAAUAUUGCACAAUGGGGGAAACCCUGAUGCAGCGACGCCGCGUGAGCGAUGAAGUCUUUCGGUAUGUAAAGCUCUAUCAGCAGGGAAGAAGAUGACGGUACCUGACUAAGAAGCCCCGGCUAACUACGUGCCAGCAGCCGCGGUAAUACGUAGGGGGCAAGCGUUAUCCGGAUUCACUGGGUGUAAAGGGAGCGUAGACGGCGACGCAAGUCUGGAGUGAAAGCCCGGGGCCCAACCCCGGGACUGCUCUGGAAACUGCGUCGCUGGAGUACGGGAGGGGCAGGCGGAAUUCCUGGUGUAGCGGUGAAAUGCGUAGAUAUCAGGAGGAACACCGGCGGCGAAGGCGGCCUGCUGGACCGUGACUGACGUUGAGGCUCGAGAGCGUGGGGAGCAAACAGGAUUAGAUACCCCUGUACAU
rnacentral:rRNA from 1 species